CGGCUUACCAAACGAGUAGUGAACAUGUAUGCUGAAGAGAAUCGGUGGAAAGAGGUUUCAAAGAUAUGGACAACAAUGAAGGGCCUUGGAGUGGAAAAGAGAUGUCCUGGGUCCAGUUGGAUUGAAAUACAAAGCAAAAUUCACCAGUUUGCUGCAUCUGAGAAUGCUCAUUUAGCUUGUCCCGAAGUCUACAAGCUGUUGGGUGAAUUAGAUGGACAAAUUAAACUCUCUGGCUUUAUACUAGAACUCAGUUUUACCUAAAGAGAGACAAACUUAAUGUUUAGAUAUUACUCAGGCUGGAGAGGAUGAUGAAAUGGGGUAGCUAAUAUGACAGCAUCUUUUACGCUAUAGCUUUAAAAAUAGUUGUAGUACACACACACUGACUCUGCUGCAGACAGACAAAGCAAGUGUAGAAGAACCAUUCUAACAUGACUGAUGCUUAGUUGGCAAUUCUUCUUGUAAGCCCUUGUUAGCCUAAAUAUAGCCACUACUUAAAUGAAGCAAUUGACCGAUUGAAGAACAAACUUAUUCUUUCUUGAAUAGGAAACUACCCUGGUAUUAAAAUUGAUUCUGAGGAAAAAAUUGCCAACUUAGAAGUUUCUGCCUUAGGGGUUGAUUCUAAGCUAAAGUUAGAUGCAAUGAAAGUUAUGGGAACCCACAACUAUUAUCAUGCUGCUGUUGUUGGACUGGGAAUUGGAGUCGAUGUUGAAGCCAUUGGUUCAACUAUUGAAAAGCUAAGGCUGCCUCUUCACCGUAUGCAAAUUGUGUGCAAUGAUAACCACGGGAUUACAUGGGUAAAUGACAGUAAAGCAACCAAUUUUGAUGCAACAUAUGCAGGACUAAUGGGUCUAAAGGGGCGAAAGUCUUGUUAUGUCCAUUGUGCCAUCAGACAGAGGAGUCAAUAGUCCAGAUUUUGGUUAAGCGUGCUUUUGCUGGGUCUUGUUGGACCUGAUCUGGUGUUAGCAUUGGUGAUCUUUCUGGUGUAUUGUUUUCUAAUUUUCUAAUUUUUGGGUCGGAGACAUUGAAAUUAAGAAUUUAUUUUUUGAAACUUCGAACAUUGUUUUCUUUUUUUCUCCUUCCAAUGUAUGAUGUUUUUAUUUCAUACUUUA